UGGUGUUGUAGGUCAGAGAGCUGAUGCUGAGGAUGACACUUCCAAGGUGUCUCCAAGUGAGAACCGCAAUAGCUGCACCUGGGCUCAGUGGGAGAGAAGCCUGGUCUGAGUGUGAGUGAAGGAGCAGUGAAUCCAGGAGGCUUCCCUUGUGUGGUGAAGAUGGACAACUACUGACAGAGGACACUGCAACAAAAGUAGCAGGAGAGGAUUACAUUUGAUUUUAGCAGAGUACAGUGUGAAAACUGAGCGAAGAAGCUAUUUCUAGAAGAAAGCAGCAUGUGUAACAGCAAUAAGAGUAAGAAUCAGUCUUGCCCUUCUAACUCCAACUCCAUCUGCUGAUCACUCAUAUGAGAGUUCUAACAUCAGAGCUGCUUCCGAGCAUUGUUGAAGAUGUGGAACAGUAAAAUCUUUUUUGUCAAGCCUCCAAGACCAAAUAGCACCAGAGAUGAAAUUUUGAAUAUGUUGGUAACACUGCUCUAUUGAUCUCAAAACAUUUUACAAACAUUAACUAAUUAAGCUUUAAAACAACAAAAUAAGUUUGCAUUAAUGACACCCAUUUAGCAGAUCAAGAAGUGGAGGUAAACAAAGGGUAAGUGAAAUGUCCAGUCAAGUGAUGAGUGAAGGUCAGAGGAAGGUCUCCUGUUUUCUAUUUGUUCCGCUUUUAUUGUGAUCUCAUUGAAAAAAAUUUUGCAGUGGAGCUUGCAGCCAUUUCAGUUUGAAACAUUUGGACAUUUUAUCACAAUCUUGAGCUUUUCUUGCAAGAAUCAAGGUAAUAUAAAAGCUCAUAAAAGUAAUAAACGUUUUUAGGCUCUCUGGUCCAGCUUUGAUUUUCAAAAGGCAAUUUCUUAUAGUGGAAUGGGGCCAGCAGUGGUUGUGGGGUUUUCUGUGUUGUGAGCCUUUUUUUCUCAUUUGCGUUUUUCUGGUGGUGCUAGAUGGACAGAAAAGUGCCUUAACCUUCAAAAUGGGAGUCCCUUCAUGUGGGCUUUACACUGAUGUCAUGCAUCUAUCCCACCCUUCCUAUGGGAGGACUAAGGCCUUCUCAGGGGAUUGCUCUGCUCUGGUGAGCACAGCCAGUCCCUGAGCCUCAGGGGCUCUUACAGAGUAGAAUGGCUUAGAGUCAGUGGAGCAACCCUGGAUUAAAAUCAGUGUUAAAAAGUGGGGGAUCAGGCACACAGUAAGUGAAUCAUACACAGCAGUGCUGACCCUCACAGAGAAUGAUGGCUUAGAGCAGAUUCCUUGGAGACCUUAGGUUAUCCUUGGAAAGGGAGGCCUCAAAGCCAAGCCUUAUACUUUCUUAAUGGGUUUCAUUAGGAAGAAAUAAAAGGAACUGAAAAAAAAGAAAAUGUAGCUUAAAAAGGAACAGCUUCGGUACAGUCUAAAAUUUGUUCCAUUUUUCAAUAAAAGAAGCCAAUGCUGCCUUGAAAUUCAUGUCCCUUCAAAGUUCAAGGAGGCCUGUAUUGUUGGCCUGCUCAGUCAGAACGCUCCAGCCACUUAUUGUAUGUGGAAUGCACUCCAGGGAGUGACUGAAAAAAUAUGAUUUAGUGAAAGCUUGUACCCAAAACACAUCAUUGGCCUCUGAUCUCUGAACAUUUAAAUAUUUCAAGCUUACAAGCGGACGCUGUCACGAGGACAGACCCUGAUCCCUAGCUGAUUCUAGAACAUCUGUUGAGGCAUUUACCAAGUUAAUAGAUUAGCUAUGAGAAUCAGGCAGGUGUUUUUCACCAAAGCCAGAAAACAUCAAAAUCAGAUUGCCCUCCAAGUCUUUCAGCACAGGCAAUCGAGUUAGAAUGACUCAUAGAGUCUAACAGAUAAUAAAACACACAUAACAUUUGCUUUAAGGUACAGGUGGGGAUAUUUUGUACUGCACUUAGGAGAAAGAAAAACUAACUCUAUUUGGGAAUAGAGUAAUUGAAUACAGAUGGGAGGAGGCAAAUGAAAGAAUUUAGCAAAUAUCUCAGUGGAAUAGCUAAUGGGAACGAGACAGAAUAGGAAAUUAAAAAUUAUUCGAAGCAGAUGGACCAUUCUUUGAGUUUUUUAAAAUUUAUUAGGGCUGCGAAAAAAAUGUGUCUGUUUAUUUUCCACGGCCAUGAAAUUAAUGACUUGGUGAGUUGUGCUUGUGCAAUUUUAUGACUGCCAUGUCAUUUGUCAUAAUUUGGGUUCUGUUUGAUAUGGAUUUAUGAAUAUUUCCUCCCCCCAGCAUGAUUUAUGGGUGUUGGUCAUAUGUGAAUUAGACUGUCACCUUUAGUAUGAAAAAGUACAAAUGACAGAUUAUAAAAAAAAAAAGUGCUCAAGUCCUUAGUGCUGGAAAGCAGAGUUCACGAUUCCCUGCUCUGCUUCUUCAUUGGAAGUUUUUGUUUGGAGCUGACGAUUAAAUGUUUGGACUUGAGUCAAGCAUAUGGAAACAUUGAGAGGGCUUGAAUAGAUCUGAACUCAUCUGAACUUCACCUGUGAAACUCAGCUUGAGUCAUCCUUUCCUUGUAUUAUGCAUUGAAAAUAAAAAAUCUGUAUGCUACUUGCUGUAGGAACAACUGAUUUACUGUACCAGAGCAGCAAGUUGGCCUUGAAAAUUUGCUGUCCUGCUUCCAGUAGUGGCUAGCU